rnacentral:tRNA from 16 species
GGCGGUCGAGCGGCCGGCGCCGCUCAUCCCGCUGACGACGAGGAAGUCCGCCCGUCCGUUCGACCCCGACGACGGUGC